ACGAACGCUGGCGGCGUGCUUAACACCUGCAAGUCGAACGGAAAGGCCCCUUUGGGGGUACUCGAGUGGCGAACGGGUGAGUAACACGUGAGUAACCUGCCCUUGACUUCGGGAUAACUUCAGGAAACUGGGGCUAAUACCGGAUAGGAAUCCUUGCUGCAUGGUGGGGGUUGGAAAGCUUCGGCGGUUUUGGAUGGACUCGCGGCUUAUCAGCUUGUUGGUGGGGUAGUGGCUUACCAAGGCUUUGACGGGUAGCCGGCCUGAGAGGGCGACCGGCCACAUUGGGACUGAGAUACGGCCCAGACUCCUACGGGAGGCAGCAGUGGGGAAUAUUGCACAAUGGGCGGAAGCCUGAUGCAGCAACGCCGCGUGCGGGAUGACGGCCUUCGGGUUGUAAACCGCUUUCAGCAGGGGCGAAGCUUGUGGUGACGGUACCUGCAGAAGAAGCACCGGCUAACUACGU
rnacentral:rRNA from 1 species